rfam:Pyrenochaeta sp. DS3sAY3a unplaced genomic scaffold IQ07scaffold_24, whole genome shotgun sequence.
GCCCUCUUGGCUUAGUGGUAAAGCGCAUCACUAGUAAUUCAACUAAAGAAAGAACAUGAUGAGAUCGCUAGUUCGAUUCUGGCAGAGGGCA